UAAAUUUCAAAUAGUUACAAACAAAAAGUUAAUGUUCAAUCUUUUUUGUACCACUGUUGUUCCAAAUCUUAGGAAAAAAAAGUUUAUUCAGUUGGUAUAAGGACAGACAUGCAAUUUGAAGACAACAUAUAUGUGUAAUUAAAAUGACGACGAAAAUAAGUUGUUUUGAAAACGAUUUGUGACCAACGUGUAUUUGUUCCUGCUGUCCAACAAUUCGAUCGUUCAAAGGCAACAAACGGAGGAUAGCGAAUCGCUACCGGAACCAACGCAAAUUCUGCUGAUCGAUCGUGUCAAUUGUGCUUUACAACGAAUCGUUAUACUCCGGGCUGAUCGUGGUCCGGCACAAGAUGCUAUACCGGAUCUACGCUUGCACGGGAAAUUGUAACAUACCGAAACCGAAUGAGGGGGAAGAUGCAUCAAACGGUGCGGUAUCGUCCCCACUGGGCUACCGACCAACGUGUAAUUGUUCCUGCUGUCUAAAAAGUCGACCGGACUCGCUCGAUCAAGUACCAAACGGGAUACUGAGUCGCUACCGGAAGCGACACCAAUUCCGCUGAAAUCUAUCGUUUGUGUGUUACCACGAACCGCUAUACUCCGCGCUGAUCGUGCUCCGGAACGAAAUGCUACACCGGUUCUACGCUUGCAUGGGAAUUUUAAUCGUACCGAAACGGUAAGAGUCAAUGUCCAUCUGCUUCCAGUGUGCGGCAAUGAGAUUUCAGCUCGCCGGAUACACCACGGCCGCAGCUGCUUGUAGCAGGUGAAUUUGCUCAACACCAUAUUACGUUUAAAAGCGACCCAGACCGCCCGAAAUGUCACCUGAUUUGCUCUCUGAACGCGUUGCUCAUCCAGAGUUGCUUAUUUUGGCUAUUCGCAACUAACCUACACUGGAUACAGGUCGUUCCUGCAUCUGCCACCCGUGGACGCGCUCGAUGGCUCUCAGCUGAGUUUGUGUAUGUAUGUGCCAUUAGGAGCCUUGAGGACAACCAUAACAACUGGGUGACUAAACAGAACAGCGGGACAUUAUGAUUUAGAGCAACACACCACCGUUCUAUGAAUCGUUGGGGUUUGCACCAUGCGAUGUAGAAUAAUAUAGUCAAUGAGACAAAAUAA